GUCUGGAUGGCCGAGCGGUCUAAGGCGCCAGACUCAAGAUCAACUUCUUCCACAAUAUGGGUGUUCUGGUCUCACAUGGAGGCGUGGGUUCAAAUCCCACUUCUGACA
rnacentral:tRNA from 1 species